GCGGCGUGCUAUACAUGCAAGUCGAGCGAAUGACGAGGAGCUUGCUCCUCUGAUUUAGCGGCGGACGGGUGAGUAACACGUGGGCAACCUGCCCUGUAGACUGGGAUAACUUCGGGAAACCGGAGCUAAUACCGGAUAAUCCAUUUCACCUCAUGGUGAAAUGUUGAAAGGCGCUUUCGGGCGUCACUACAGGAUGGGCCCGCGGUGCAUUAGCUAGUUGGUGGGGUAACGGCCUACCAAGGCGACGAUGCAUAGCCGACCUGAGAGGGUGAUCGGCCACAUUGGGACUGAGACACGGCCCAAACUCCUACGGGAGGCAGCAGUAGGGAAUCUUCCACAAUGGACGAAAGUCUGAUGGAGCAACGCCGCGUGAGUGAUGAAGGUUUUCGGAUCGUAAAACUCUGUUGUAAGGGAAGAACAAGUACGUUAGGAAAUGAACGUACCUUGACGGUACCUUAUUAGAAAGCCACGGCUAACUACGUGCCAGCAGCCGCGGUAAUACGUAGGUGGCAAGCGUUGUCCGGAUUUAUUGGGCGUAAAGCGCGCGCAGGCGGUUUCUUAAGUCUGAUGUGAAAGCCCACGGCUUAACCGUGGAGGGUCAUUGGAAACUGGGAGACUUGAGUGCAGAAGAGGAAAGUGGAAUUCCAAGUGUAGCGGUGAAAUGCGUAGAGAUUUGGAGGAACACCAGUGGCGAAGGCGACUUUCUGGUCUGCAACUGACGCUGAGGCGCGAAAGCAUGGGGAGCAAACAGGAUUAGAUACCCUGGUAGUCCAUGCCGUAAACGAUGAGUGCUAAGUGUU
rnacentral:rRNA from 1 species